GGGAGUGUGAUCUAUUGGUGACAUUUGUCACCUCGCUGAACAUUGAGCUUGAGUUGGCUAAUCUGUCUGGCUUGGUAGUUGUCUUCUUCCUCUAUGAAUCCACAGAAGAAGAUGAGGUAUUCUGUAGAGAAGUGACUGCCAAAGUUUUUAGUAGCUGGGGUGCUUGCUAGGAAAGGUCCAUUUGAGAAACAAGUAGUAUGGUCCAAAUCACACAAUUAAAGACACAUCCAAAGUGCUAUCUGUGGGAGUCUGACUUUAUUU
rnacentral:snRNA from 1 species